UGGGGAAUAUUGCACAAUGGGCGCAAGCCUGAUGCAGCCAUGCCGCGUGUAUGAAGAAGGCCUUCGGGUUGUAAAGUACUUUCAGCGGGGAGGAAGGCGAUAAGGUUAAUAACCUUGUCGAUUGACGUUACCCGCAGAAGAAGCACCGGCUAACUCCGUGCCAGCAGCCGCGGUAAUACGGAGGGUGCAAGCGUUAAUCGGAAUUACUGGGCGUAAAGCGCACGCAGGCGGUCUGUCAAGUCGGAUGUGAAAUCCCCGGGCUCAACCUGGGAACUGCAUUCGAAACUGGCAGGCUAGAGUCUUGUAGAGGGAGGUAGAAUUCCAGGUGUAGCGGUGAAAUGCGUAGAGAUCUGGAGGAAUACCGGUGGCGAAGGCGGCCCCCUGGACAAAGACUGACGCUCAGGUGCGAAAGCGUGGGGAGCAAACA
rnacentral:rRNA from 1 species